rnacentral:rRNA from 1 species
GCGAACGGGUGAGUAACACGUGAGCAACCUACCCUUGACUCUGGGAUAACAGUUGGAAACAGCUGCUAAUACCGGAUACGACCCCGGCAGGCAUCUACCGGGGUGGAAAGCUCCGACGGUCAAGGAUGGGCUCGCGGCCUAUCAGCUUGUUGGUGAGGUAACGGCUCACCAAGGCGACGACGGGUAGCCGGCCUGAGAGGGCGACCGGCCACACUGGGACUGAGAUACGGCCCAGACUCCUACGGGAGGCAGCAGUGGGGAAUAUUGCGCAAUGGGCGAAAGCCUGACGCAGCAACGCCGCGUGCGGGAUGACGGCCUUCGGGUUGUAAACCGCUUUCAGCAGGGACGAAGGGUUACCUUGACGGUACCUGCAGAAGAAGCACCGGCUAACUACGUGCCAGCAGCCGCGGUGAUACGUAGGGUGCGAGCGUUGUCCGGAAUUAUUGGGCGUAAAGAGCUUGUAGGCGGUCUGUUGCGUCGGAAGUGAAAACUCAGGGCUUAACCCUGAGCCUGCUUUCGAUACGGGCAGACUUGAGGGAUGUAGGGGAGAACGGAAUUCCUGGUGGAGCGGUGGAAUGCGCAGAUAUCAGGAGGAACACCAGUGGCGAAGGCGGUUCUCUGGACAUUUCCUGACGCUGAGAAGCGAAAGCGUGGGGAGCAAACAGGCUUAGAUACCCUGGUAGUCCACGCCGUAAACGGUGGGCACUAGGUGUGGGACCCAUUCCACGGGUUCCGUGCCGAAGCUAACGCAUUAAGUGCCCCGCC